ensembl:snoRNA SNORD31 Small nucleolar RNA SNORD31
UGGAGAACUGAUGACUGCCAUACCGCCCCAGUCUGAAUUUGAGCUGACUGAUUGGUUUUUCCUGAUCUCCU